AUCCAGUGCAAUUAGUUAAUUUAUUUUUAGUUUUGUGUUUUUGCUAAUACUUGUUUUUUUUUUUAUGUUUAUGUAUUUACCGGCGCGGCGCACGCAUCUUCUAUUUCGUAAUUCGAAUCAAUCUGACAUGACAAUUAGGGACGAAAUAGACAUAUGUCAUGAAAAAGAGACAGAAGUAAAGAAUAGGGAUAAAGAAGAUGGUAUGAAAGGAGGACGAAGGAAUUGCAGAAGCGACGGAUAUAUGUUUAUAGGUAUGAAAGGAACAACAAUACCCACAAUAUUAAAUAUUUAAUGAAAAGUUUAAUGCGAAUUGGGAAAGGUGGGGAAAAUAAGAAAGGAUUAGAUAGGAGUGAAAUUAAGCUUUAAAGCAAGGGUCCAGACGAUGCUGAAAGAGUAGUUUUGUGAACAUUGCGGGAAAUAAUAAACUAUGCGGUAAUUGAAGAUCGUAACCGCUAAAGGAACUUGACUAGAAGUCAUUUGUAGUUCAGAGUGGGUGACGAAAGCAUCUAUGUAUUUAAAUUUAAAAGUGGCAUAAAACAAAAGAAGUGAAAAAAAAAACGUAAAAAAAAAAAGGAAAUAGGUUUUUUUUGUAUAAGUUUUUUGUAACGACUAAUAUAUGUUCAGUGAAGAAAGAGAGCAGAUAAAUCCAUAAAGAGAACAAAAAAUUUAAAAUAAUAGCUGAGGUGAGAUUGAGUUUUGGCGGCCGGCACGGUGGUUGGCUUCGGAGUGACCGACGGUCCUAGAGCAAGAAAAUUUUAUUCCCAAGGUGAUGUGGAGGUUGUGCUGAACAUAAGAUUGAUCCGUCGAUAGACCCGGAUAACCAAGUAACUUUACUAGCCAAAACCAAUCUCACCCCUAUAUUUAUAUAAGUGUUAACUACAUAUACAUAUAUAUAUAUAUCUCUUUGUGCGUUCUCGUUACCCUUUACGCCAAUCCGGCGGGAUAGGAAAAAAGGAUUCGGUUCCUGGCGAAUCGACUCUAGGAUUUGCUUAUAUAUAUAUAGAUAUAUACGUAUACCUAGCUGUCCAACAAAUAACAAAGGAAAAAUUAGUAACGUGACAUUGAAACAACAAAUAUUCAAAUUUAUAACGACUUUAUUUUGUAACUCCUUGUAUCGGUAUAUGUGUCUAGAGUGCGUCGUUAUUUUUUUGUUAGUGUCGAGUAAGCAUUACGGGUAAAGUUCGUCGGGGCGGCGUAGGUUCCCCAUACCCCUCCCUGUCAAAGUAGAGGCAACAUUUUGCAUCCCUUUAGCUACCUAUAGAGAGCUCUUGGUAGGUAGGAUAAAAGAGGAAUUUAUACAGCUGCUUCAUAAAAGGAAGACGGCGUAGAUUUCCGGGGAGAACAAGGGAACUUAAGUCUCCUCCAUACGGAGAAAGUCCCUGUUUUUUUGUUUGUUUUUGGAUUAGGUACACUAGGUACAUAUAUACUUCUGAGGAGAAAUUUUGUAUUUUCCUUUGAUUUUUUUUAUAUUUAAGUUAUUUCAAAUUUUCAAUUUCUUUUAAAUUUACCAAUUUUCUAAUUUUCAAAUUUCGAAAUUAUUCUUUAUAUUUUUUUUAUAUAUUCCAUUUUUGUUUGUUACAAGUCUGUUUAAAUAAAAUGUAAGUCACGUUACAGUGUAGUCGAUUUGUUGUGUUUUUUUUUUGAUUUUAUCAACUUUUGGUGUUCAGAACUUAAAUAUUAUGGAG